GGAUGUGAGGGCGAUCUGGCUGCGACAUCUGUCACCCCAUUGAUCGCCAGGGUUGAUUCGGCUGAUCUGGCUGGCUGGGCGGGUGUCCCCCUCCUCCCUCACCGAUCCAUGUUCAUCCCUCCCGAGGCUGCGCGGCGCCCCCCCCCCCCCCCCCCAGGAGAGGACCGGUCUUCGGUCAAGGGUAUGGGAGUAGCUGCGCUCCCCUGCUAGAACCUCCAAACAAGCUCUCAAGAAACUUAUCUGUAGAAUUUCAUUCAUUCCAUAGUAUAUUUAACAUUAUGAUAACUCCAACAUCA
rnacentral:snRNA from 1 species